rnacentral:rRNA from 1 species
CAGCGCCACGGGAAUACGUAGGGCGCAAGCGUUGUCCGGAAUUAUUGGGCGUAAAGAGCUCGUAGGCGGUCUGUCGCGUCUGGUGUGAAAUCCCGAGGCUCAACCUCGGGCUUGCAUCGGGUACGGGCAGACUAGAGUGCGGUAGGGGAGACUGGAAUUCCUGGUGUAGCGGUGGAAUGCGCAGAUAUCAGGAGGAACACCGAUGGCGAAGGCAGGUCUCUGGGCCGCAACUGACGCUGAGGAGCGAAAGCAUGGGGAGCGAACAGGAUUAGAUACCCCCGUAGUCCCUGUCUCUUAUACA